UGCACACUCUCUCAGUGCUGUGGACACAGAGCCGCCACGCAUGCCACCCCUCAGCCCAUCCAGAACAACACAGCACAUGCUGCCACUUGCAGGCUGGCUACACAAACCACACAUGACUGCCCCCUCCAUCAGAGACAUGCAACUCCAACCACUCCGAAAAAACAUACAAAGCAACAUGGAUUCCUCCAAGUCAUUACAACAGAGGCCAGCUUGCUACCUGACUGAUGUCCAGUGUUACCGGGGUGACCAUCCACACUCAUCACAGGGACUGAGGAGAAACUCAGGCAUUGAACAUCGGAAUGGACUUCACCUCCUACCACAGGCCCACUACCGGAGGUCUCGCUCCAAUACUACACUGGAUUCAUGUGGUGGAUACAGCUGUUUCAACGUGGUGAAACCUUACCAGGCUGGAUACUACAUCAUUCAUCCAGAAUUUGUGUCUGAGUGCCUACGCUGAAAGUUCAACCACAUGUUCAAUAAACUGUACUGGAUGUAUCAGAGAUCUUCUGUAGUGUUUUGAUCUUGACAGCUGAUU